rnacentral:rRNA from 1 species
GUUGAACGCUAGCGGGAUGCCUUACACAUGCAAGUCGAACGGAGUGGCGAACGGGUGAGUAAUGUAUAGGAACGUGCCCAGUGGCGGGGGAUAACUACGCGAAAGCGUAGCUAAUAGCGCAUACUGUUGGAGCGGCCGUAACCGGAUUAGCUGGUUGGGGGGGUAACGGCUCACCAAGGCGACGAUCCGUAGCUGGUUGGAGAGGACGACCAGCCACUCGGGGACUGUGAAACGGCCCAGACUCCUACGGGAGGCAGCAUGGGGGAAUUUUGGACAAUGGGGGAAACCCUGAUCCAGCAAUCCCGCGUGUGCGAUGAAGGCCUCCGGGUUGUAAAGCAUUUUUUGCAGGACAGCGGUACCUGCAGAAUAAGCACCGGCUAACUACGUGCCAGCAGCCGCGGUAAUUC